rnacentral:rRNA from 1 species
GAUUAAGGGCGCGCGGUGGAUGCCUAGGCUCUCGGAGGCGAAGAAGGACGCGAUAAGCCGCGAUAGUCCACGGCGAGGUGCAAGUAACCCUUGACCCGUGGGUUUCCGAAUGGGGCAACCCGGCCGUCUAGAUGACGGUCAUGCAUUAUCAUGCAGGCGAACGCGGGGAACUGAAACAUCUCAUUACCCGCAGGAGAAGAAAACAAAAUGUGAUUCCCCCAGUAGUGGCGAGCGAACGGGGAAGAGCCCAAACCGGUAGCGUUUCGGCGAUACCGGGGUCAUGGGACCACGCCAUUCGAAACAAGAUGAAGUGCAAUUACCUGGAAAGGUAAGCCGCGGAGGGUGAUAGCCCCGUGCACGUCAAUUCUUGUGGAGAUAGUGGAAUCCCGAGUAGGGCGGGACACGAGAAAUCCUGCCUGAAUUCGCCAGGACCUCCUGGCAAGGCUAAAUACUCCCGAGAGACCGAUAGUGAACCAGUACCGCGAGGGAAAGGUGAAAAGUACCCCGAGCAGGGGGGUGAAAUAGACCCUGAACCCGCGCGCCUACAAGCGGUCGGAGCUGCCUUGUGCAGUGACGGCGUGCCUUUUGCAUAAUGAGCCUACGAGUUAGUCGUCACCAGCGAGGUUAAGGGCUUCAGGCCCGAUAGCCGAAGUGAAAGCGAGCCUUAACAGGGCGUAAAGUUGGUGGCGCUAGACGCGAAACCUUGUGAUCUACCCACGAGCAGGUUGAAGUCGCGGUAACACGUGAUGGAGGACCGAACCGGUAAACGUUGAAAAGUUUUCGGAUGACUCGCGGGUAGGGGUGAAAGGCCAAUCAAACUGGGAAAUAGCUCGUACUCUCCGAAAUGCAUUUCGGUGCAGCCUGUGAUGUUCUGUUCCAGAGGUAGAGCUACUGGUUGGACGCGAGGGCUUCACCGCCUAUCAAAUCCGGAUAAACUCCGAAUGCUGGAACACGAAAUCAUGGAGUGAGCCCGCGGGUGCUAAGGUCCGCGGACGAGAGGGAAAGAACCCGGACCACCGGCUAAGGUCCCGGAUGGACAGUUAAGUUGAUCAAACGAGGUGGGAUCGCGGAGACAGCUAGGAUGUUGGCUUGGAAGCAGCCAUUCAUUUAAAGAGUGCGUAACAGCUCACUAGUCGAGCGAUCCCGCGUGGAUAAUACACGGGCAUCAAACUGUCAACCGAAGCCGUGGGGUCAGCGAAAAGCUGACCGGUAGGAGAGCAUUCCUGCCAGCGUUGAAGGUCACCCGCGAGAGUGACUGGAGCGGCAUGAAAAGCAAAUGUAGGCAUAAGUAACGAUAAUGGGGGCGAGAACCCCCCACGCCGCAAGACCAAGGAUUCCCCGGCAAUGUCAAUCAGCCGGGGGUCAGCCGGCCUCUAAGGCUAACCCGAAGGGGGAUGCCGACGAGAAACGGGUUAACAUUCCCGUGCUUCUCGUCACCGUGACGCGGUGACGGGGUGAUGAAUGGACCGCGCGCUGACGGAAUAGCGCGUUGAAGGCCGUACCCUUCGAGGGUGGUAGUCAAGCACGCCACCCGAGGCGACAGCCGAUAGUACCUCGAGGCCUCGGCCGAGGGGAUAGCGUCCAGGCAAUUUACCCCCUAGAAAACCCGCUAAACUUCAAGUGACGAGGAACCGUACCGUAAACGGACACACGUGGUCGGGUAGAACAUACCAAGGCGCUCGAGUGAUUCAUGGUCAAGGAACUAGGCAAAAUAGUCCUGUAACUUAGGGAUAAAGGACGCUCUAGUGAUAGAGCCGCAGAGAAAUGGCCCAGGCGACUGUUUACCAAAAACACAUGGCUAUGCCAAAUCGAAAGAUGACGUAUAUGGCCUGACACCUGCCCGGUGCCGGAAGGUUAAGAGGAGAGCUCAUCCGCGAGGAGAAGGUUUGAAUUGAAGCCCCGGUAAACGGCGGCCGUAACUAUAACGGUCCUAAGGUAGCGAAAUUCCUUGUCGGGUAAGUUC